rnacentral:rRNA from 1 species
GAUGAACGCUGGCGGCGUGCCUAAUACAUGCAAGUCGAGCGACCGGACGAGAAGCUUGCUUCUCUGUUGUUAGCGGCGGUCGGGUGAGUAACACGUGGAUCACCUACUUCUUUGUCUGGGAUAAUUUCGGGAAACCGGUGCUACUACUGGCUAAUAUUUUGAACCGCAUGGUUCAAAAGUGCAUGACGGUCUUGCUGUCACUUAUAGAUGGAUUCGCGCUGCGUUAGCUAGUUGGUAAGGUAACGGCUUACCAAGGCAACGAUGCGUAGCCGACCUGAGAGGAUGAUCAGCCACACUGGAACUGAGACACGGUCCAGACUCCUACGGGAGGCAGCAGUGGGGAAUCUUGCGCAAUGGGCGAAAGCCUGACGGAGCAACACCGCGUGAGUGAUGAAGGCCUUCGGAUCGUAAAGCCCUGUUAUUAGGGAAGAACAGAAGUGGGAGUAACUGUGCACAUCUUGACGGUACCUAAACAAAAAGCAACGGCUAACUUCGUG